rnacentral:rRNA from 1 species
CCUACGGGAGGCAGCAGUAAGGAAUAUUGGUCAAUGGACGGAAGUCUGAACCAGCCAUGCCGCGUGCAGGAAGACGGCCCUACGGGUUGUAAACUGCUUUUGCAGGGGAAUAAACCCCGAUACGUGUAUCGGGCUGAAUGUACUCUGAGAAUAAGGAUCGGCUAACUCCGUGCCAGCAGCCGCGGUAAUACGGAGGAUCCAAGCGUUAUCCGGAUUUAUUGGGUUUAAAGGGUGCGUAGGUGGCCUGUUAAGUCAGGGGUGAAAGACGGUAGCUUAACUAUCGCAGUGCCCUUGAUACUGAUGGGCUUGAAUAAACUAGAGGUAGGCGGAAUGUGACAAGUAGCGGUGAAAUGCAUAGAUAUGUCACAGAACACCAAUUGCGAAGGCAGCUUACUAUGGUUUUAUUGACACUGAGGCACGAAAGCGUGGGGAUCAAACAGGAUUAGAUACCCUGGUAGUCCACGCCCUAAACGAUGAAUACUCGAUGUUGGCGAUAUACGGUCAGCGUCUAAGCGAAAGCGUUAAGUAUUCCACCUGGGGAGUACGCCCGCAGGGUGAAACUCAAAUGAAUUGAGG